rnacentral:rRNA from 1 species
CGCGUAGGUGGUAGUGCAAGUCUGGGGUGGAAUCCCAGGGCUUAACCCUGGAACUGCCUUGGAAACUGUAUUACUUGAGUCAGUGAGGGGAGGGUAGAAUUCCUGGUGUAGCGGUGAAAUGCGUAGAUAUCAGGAGGAAGGCCUGUGGCGAAGGCGGCCCUCUGGCGCUGAACUGACACUGUAGGCGCGAAAGCGUGGGUAGCAAACAGGAUUAGAUACCCUGGUAGUCCACGCCCUAAACGGUGGGUACUAGGUGUGGGGCUCGUAAGGGUUCUGUGCCGAAGCGAAAGCAUUAAGUACCCCGCCUGGGGAGUACGGCCGCAAGGUUGAA